AACUUUUAGCAACGGAUCUCUUGGCUCUCGCAUCGAUGAAGAACGCAGCGAAAUGCGAUAAGUAAUGUGAAUUGCAGAAUUCAGUGAAUCAUCGAAUCUUUGAACGCACCUUGCGCUCCUUGGUAUUCCGAGGAGCAUGCCUGUUUGAGUGUCAUG
rnacentral:rRNA from 1 species